rnacentral:rRNA from 1 species
UACGUAGGUGGCAAGCGUUGUCCGGAUUUACUGGGCGUAAAGAGCGCGCAGGCGGUCGGAUAAGUCGAAUGUGAAAGCCCCUGGCUCAACCAGGGAGGGUCAUUCGAUACUGUUCGACUCGAAGGCAGGAGAGGGAAGUGGAAUUCCUGGUGUAGCGGUGAAAUGCGUAGAUAUCGGGAGGAACACCAGUGGCGAAGGCGACUACCUGGCCUGUUUCUUGACGCUGAGGCGCGAAAGCUAGGGGAGCAAACGGG